AUGUCUGAAUUUCUUGAGCUUGAGGCUCUGGAUGGGAUAAGGAUGCCAUGGAACGUUAUUCCAGGCACAAAGGAGGAUGCUGUGAGCUGUGUCGUCCCUGUUUCUGCCAUCUAUACUCCUCUCAAGUCAAUUCCUGAUAUGCCAGUAGUGCCAUAUGCUCCCCUUCGCUGCCGCAUGUGUCGUUCCAUCCUCAAUCCCUUCUCCAGAGUCGACUAUAAUGCUAAGAUCUGGCUCUGUACAUUCUGCUUUCAGCGCAAUCAGUUCCCUCAACACUAUUCCUCAAUCUCAGAAAACAAUCUUCCUCCAGAACUCUUCCCUCAGUAUACCACUAUUGAGUACAUGUCCACUGCAGAAACAGGUCCUGUAAUGCCUCCUGUUUUCAUCUUUGUUGUGGAUACUUGCAUUAUCGAGGAAGAAAUUGGUUAUUUGAAGUCUGCUCUGGCACAGGCUACUGAGCUAUUGCCAGAUAAUUCCCUUGUUGGAUUCAUUACUUUUGGGACAUAUGUACAGGUGCAUGAAUUGGGUUUUGGUUUGUUGCCGAAGUCAUAUGUGUUCAAGGGAACAAAGGAGGUCAGCAAGGAACAAAUAUUGGAGCAAAUGUGCUUCUUUGCAGGCAAACAAAAGCCCACCACAUGGGUUAUAGCUGGAACUAGGGAUGGUCUUUCAUCAGAGAGCAUCUCUAGGUUCCUUGUGCCUGCUUCAGAGUGCGAGUUUGUACUGAACUCAGUUAUUGAAGAGCUGCAAAAGGACCCUUGGCAUAUUCCAGCUGAUCAACGUGCAUCAAGAUGCACUGGAGCUGCAUUAAGUGUGGCCGCCAGUCUCUUGGGGGUUUGUGUCCCUGGAUCAGGUGCUAGGAUCAUGGCAUUUGUUGGGGGUCCAUCUACAGAGGGACCUGGUUCUAUUGUAUCCAAAUCCUUAACAGAACCAAUUCGCUCACACAAAGACCUUGAUAAAGACUCGGCUCCACUUUUUGAUAAAGCUGUUAAGUUCUAUGAUCAGAUUGCUAAGCAGCUUGUGCACCAAGGACAUGUGCUGGAUUUGUUUGCUUGUGCAGUCGACCAGGUUGGUGUUGCUGAAAUGAAGGUUGCAAUUGAGAAGACUGGGGGAAUUGUUGUGCUUGCUGAAAGUUUUGGUCACUCUGUUUUCAAAGACUCGCUUCUUCGCAUCUUUCAGUCAGCAGACAACGGCCUUGGAUUAUCAUUCAAUGGUAUUCUCGAGAUUAACUGCUCAAAAGAUGUAAAGAUUCAAGGCAUUAUUGGGCCUUGUUCUUCCCUGGAGAAGAAAAGUCCUCUGUCUGCAGAUACUGUUAUUGGUCAGGGAAACACCAGCGCCUGGAAGAUGUGUGGUCUUGACAAGAAAACAUCGCUUUGCUUUGUAUAUGACAUCUCAAGAAAAGUUGGCCCAGAUACAGUCGCUCAGCAGACAGGCGAACAGCUCUACCUUCAAUUUGUAACCUAUUAUCAGCAUCAUGAGGGCCAGAUGAGAUUGCGAACUACUACGAUCUCCAGACAAUGGGCUUCUGGUGCUGCUACUGUGCAGGAGCUGAUAGAUGGCUUUGAUCAAGAAGCCGCAGCCGCAGUUGUGGCACGCUUGGUCUCAUUUAAGAUGGAAACUGAGGCUGAUUUUGAUCCAAUAAGAUGGCUUGACCGUGCUUUGAUACGUUUAUGUACCAAAUUUGGAGACUAUCAGAAGGAAACACCCUCAUCUUUCAGUUUGUCUCCACGUCUAUCAAUAUUCCCCCAGUUUAUGUUUAACUUGAGGCGUUCUCAGUUUGUCCAGGUUUUCAAUAAUAGCCCCGAUGAAACCGCAUAUUUUAGGAUGACGUUGGAGAGGGAAAAUGUGGGCAAUGCAGUUGCAAUGAUUCAACCUUCACUUAUAUCCUACUCCUUCCAAUCAGGGCCAAUGCCUGUUCUCUUGGAUGCAACUGCAAUUGGUCCUGACAAGAUCCUUUUGUUGGAUUCUUAUUUUUCUGUCGUCAUCUUCCAUGGGAUAACCAUUGCACAAUGGCGAAAGGCUGGUUACCAAGAUCAAGAAGGCCACGAGGCGUUUGCCCAGUUGUUAAAAGCUCCACAUGACGAAUCUGAUGCCAUAAUCAAAGAGCGGUUUCCUGUGCCCCGUUUGGUUGUUUGUGAUCAAUAUGGAUCUCAGGCUCGAUUUUUACUGGCAAAGCUAAAUCCAUCCGUGGCAUAUAACUCUGACAACCCUGCUCCCGGAGGAGACGUGAUAUUCACGGACGACGUGAGCUUCGAGGUGUUCAUGGACCAUCUCCAGCGGUUAGCGGUCCAAUAG
rnacentral:rRNA from 1 species